ACUCGCAGCUGGGUGCAGGGAGCUGCUGACAGCCCUCACCUCCGCCUCAUUCUUUUGCGGCCCGAUAGCUCGCCAGUUGGAUUUGCUGCUGCAAACAUGUGGAGAUGUACCGCUGCUCCCCAGCACCCUGUGCCCCAUUGCAGGGCUGCUUCCUUGGGAGGACCUCCAAAUGGCGGCCAGAAUGGAUGGUGGGAACAAACGAGGGGGAAACGUUGCCUACUGCACGGCGGCCUUGUGGUGACUCACCAGAGCAGAAUUUGGGUGCUGUGUGCCAGCGGGGCUUCCAACAGAGCACGUGGCUUUGUGCUGCUUCAGAAACUCCAGAGAUCUGAGCUGAAGUUAUGAUGUGUGAUGAAAUGAAAGAAAUAAUGCAAAUAAUGUAGUCCUUUUAUUUUAAUAAGGCAACAUUUACCCUAUUCUGAUUCUUUUCUUGGGGCAGGAAAUUGUAUGGGAAGAACCCAGGGAUGACGAAGCGGCCGCGCUCCAGGACAGCCCCAUGGCCGCCUCUGGGCUCCAAAAGGAACCAGGCUCAGGACCAGGUAUUGUACAGCACUUUUAUUCUGACAGACACACUGCACAUUGAGUUGGUACACAAACAAGCUUGUUUUUAAGGCAAAUGAUCUCAAAUUAGCUUUCCCGUUCACUGCUUCCAUUAGAUGUGACAGAAGUACAACGUAUUGAGAUUGGCACUAGGAAUGCUUCCAUGGAGGAGUUAAAAUACAUCACAUAGAAAGGCACCUUUAAAGAAAUGCAACAAAAAUACACCUUCCCGCU